rnacentral:rRNA from 1 species
GGGAAAACUUACCAGGUCAAGACAUGGGCGUGAUUGACAGGCUAAUGACUUUUCUCGAUUCCAUGGAUGGUGGUGCAUGGUCGCACUUAGUUGGUGCAGUGAUUUGUCAGGUUUAUUCCGGUAACGAACGAGACCUCGGCCUUGUAAAUAGCUAUGCUGCUUACAGGGACAUUGGCGGCUACGCCAAGGAAGCUCGAGGCAAUUGCAGAUCUGGAAUGCCCUUAGAUGUCCUGGGUCGCACGCGUGCUACAAUGACGCCACGAACGAGCUUGCGUGAUGAGAGUUACGCAUAAUCAGCAGUCGGCGUCUUGAGGGAUAGUCUCUUGUAACUGUGGGACUCCAACUAGGAAUGUCUCGUAAGCCGAGUCAACUCUUGUGUUGAUUACGUCCCUGCUCUUUGUCGCACCGCCCGUCGCUCCUACCGAUCGAGUGUUUAGGUGAAUUUGAGGACGUAGGAAGUCAAAAAACCCUGACCUCUUAGGGAAGAGAAAUCUGCACAC